AAUGAACGUUGGCGGCGUGGAUUAGGCAUGCAAGUCGAGCGAGAACCCGCAAGGGGGACAGCGGCAAACGGGGUAGUAACGGGUAGGCAACGUACCCUCGGGACGGGGAUAGCCACGGGAAACUGUGGGUAAUACCCGAUAAUCUCCUGUUUCUUUAUGGAAUGGGAGCAAAGGUGAGAUUCCACCUGAGGAGCUGCCUGCUUCGUAUUAGCUAGUUGGUGAGGUAACGGCUCACCAAGGCUUCGAUGCGUAGGGGGUGUGAGAGCAUGACCCCCACCACAGGGACUGAGAUACUGCCAAGACACCUACGGGUGGCUGCAGUCGAGAAUCUUCGGCAAUGGGCGAAAGCCUGACCGAGCGACGCCGCGUGUGGGAUGAAGGCCCUUGGGUUGUAAACCACUGUCAGAGGGGAUGAAGUGCAUGUGAGUUAUCUCAUGUGUUUGACAUAGCCUCAGAGGAAGCACGGGCUAAGUUCGUGCCAGCCGCCGCCGUAAGAC
rnacentral:rRNA from 1 species